rnacentral:rRNA from 1 species
GUUAGCAGUCAUACCACCUGCAGUUCAGACCAGCUAAUCUGAAGCUAAGCAUGUUUGGGCCUGACCAGUGGAUGGGAAACCGCCUAGGAAAGCUGGGCUGCUGCUAGAA